CAUGAGCAUCUUUAGGGCUAAUUCCACAAUCAUCUGCCAUAUCAAUUUGACAAGCUUGCACACUUGAAAUUUUCCGUUGUGAAGGAAUUAGGUGGCAUGUUUCAGGAAGUUGAAGAAUAUGGUUAUGUUCAAGUACUAAAUCAUUUAACUGGUGGCAGUAGCUAUUUGCCUUUCACAAAAGCAAAAACAAGAGAGUGGGGACCAAGAGAAUAAGAUGGAGGGGACCAAGAGAAGAGAAGGAGGAUAGGAACCAGGGACCUUGGAGUGUUGCGAGUAGGAAGAAAAGGAACAAGAAAUGGAGGGGACCAAGAGAACAAAAGGAGAGGGAGACCAGGAGUUGCCUGGAGUGUUGGCGCAUUUUUUAGUUGCCUGGAUUGUUGGCGUCUUUUUUAAGUUCUCUAUAGUGUUGGCACCUUUUUUUAUUGGCUGGAGUGUUGGCACCACUUUAUAGUGUACUUUAUUGAGUCCAACCGCUGAGAUGAAGCUAAAUUCAGUGAAGUUAUGUUUGUCAAA